rnacentral:lncRNA from 1 species
UUUUAUUUGUUAUCUUUUAUUCUACCUUACUUUUAUUUGACUGGUUUGAACAAAAUCUAAGAAUUUGAUCAGAGCUUAUCUUUUAUUCUAGCUUAUCUUUAUUUGACUCGUUUGAAAUAGUAUUUAAUCUUUUAUUUGACUGGUUUGAACUAGUAGUUUCUUGGAUAAAGUUAUCCUUAAAAAUCCAUAAAUUUAAUUCCCCCUUCCCCAAAAAAAAAAUAAGCAAACAAUCAAAGGAAAAUAAUCUUAUAAAUUUUAUUCUUCAUUAAUUUAAUUUGUUGACUAUCAAAAAUAAAGAAAUAUUUUUUUGACUAAGUAAAUCAAAUUAAAUAUUAAGUCAAGGCGCCACGUUUCAAAUUGCUAUAAAUGAAAUGCUCAUUAAGUGGUAAGAAAAGCUUUAGCUUAUCUUAACAUGUAAGAUUUUCUUUUUCCCCUUAUUUAUUUUUUUGGUUUGGGUUUAAACAUCAUUCAGGAAACAAGAAAUAUUUUAUUUAUGUCUUUCACAUCUUCUCUCCCACCAUAUUUUUCACAAAAACUUGGUUUCUCCAAUGGCAAAAGAUAAUGUUUACUGUCAAGGCUGCGAGAUAUGACAAAUACCCAAGCGUAGCAACAAUCAGACAAGUAAAGUCUGGUUCUUAUAUAAUUUUUUGGUUUUUUUAUCUAUGAAAUAUUCAGAUCUAUAAGUCUUUUGACAAUCGAAUUAUAUGAAAAUAGGUUUGAAGAAGAAGCAUAUAGGGACAGAAGAAGAUGAUGAGCGAGGUAAGAACUUUUGUUUAAUUCUUUUCUAUUGGUGAGUUUAGCACUGACGUUUUGAAGCUUCCUUUAACUCUUACGUGGUUUUAUUUUGACAUAUAGUACAUACGAGUGGGAAGAAAGUGAGGAUGAACAAUUAAUGAUCCGAAGUUGGUUCUUCUUCAUUGACCAACUCUCGUUCUGUGCGCUUUGCUAUGGCUUCAAAAUCAAAUGAAAACUCUCUGGUGAAUUUACUCGCAUUAAAACAGCUUCGUGCAUCUCGUUUAAGAUGUGAUUGUUGUUUUGUUAGUCCAAUUUAGUUUAGGAGAAGUAAUACUUUUCAAAACAAAAUGAAAAGUUCAAUAUGGUUUUGCUUAGGCUUAUGUUCUUGUUCUAUAUGUUUUACCUUGAAUAUUGGUUUACACUGACAGUCUUUUAUUGAAGCUACCAAUAAAUGUUUUUUGGAUUUUGUUAAUUAUAACAAUCAAUUAAAAUUAAAAAACGAAACUAGAGAUUUUAAUUUGUGUUGAUGGAUUUGAUUCAUUUAUUAUGAGUUUUUCCAUAUUUGUUAGGCAAGGCUUUUUUUUAAUUAUCAGGUAAAAAUCCAACGAAGAGUCACCUCUCUAGUAAGUUGUAAAUUUAGGUUUGAAGAAGAAGCAUACAAGGGGACAAAAGAAGGUGCUGAACCAGAUAAGACCAGUAUCAUCAUCUUAGUUUGAUGAGUUUUAUAUUAAGGUAUCUGAAGCGGGUUUUGACUUGUGUGGUUUUUUUUGUUGACAUAGUACGCUUACGAGAUGGAAAAAACUGAGGAUGAACAAUUCAUAACCCAAAGUUGGUUUGUCUUCACUGAACAACCCUAGUUGUGUGUGCUUUGAUAUGGCUUCAUAGUCAAAUGAAAAUGCUCUGGUGAGUUCACUCGCAUAUGAACCGCUUCUUGUAUCUUGUUUCAGAUGUGAAUGUUGUUUUUUUAGUCUAGUUUAGUCUAGGAGAGUUAAUACUUGUUGAAACAAAAUCAAAAGUGUAUUAGUUCAUUAUGGUUUUGGUUUUAGUUUUGUACAUACCUUAGGCUUAUCUAUUGUAUUUGAUUGUAUUUAUGAUUUCCAGAGAGUGGAAUUUUACGGGAGAAAACAUUUCUUCUGCAAACAAUGCUUGUAUAUCCAUCGAAGAAUUAACAUUCGAGGUAACACCAAUAUGUUGUUUAUUCUUGAUGUAUGCUUAAAAGUUUUGGUUAAGUACAAACUCGUGAAUGAUCAUAGAUCAAUAUAUAUUUAAGUUUGGUCACAAAGUCACACCAAUUCUGAUCUAUGUUGUCUCUUCGUUGGAUUCGAUUAUUUAAUAUGGAUAAGUGAUUCUAGCAGCCUUAUAAAUCUAAUAUCUAAUUGUUCAUGUCUAACUAUGCCUUUAUUUUUUGGCGAAUAUAAGGCACAAGUUUUUGGCAACUCAACUACACUACCUGAACACAAUCUAAUAAACCUAGCUGUUUACAAUGCAAUUACCCUUGGAAGACUAGCAUGGGUUCGUCUAGACCUCGUUCCACCACUCUUUGAAUACUUUGUGGAGAGUAAAAUGAUUCCAAAUCUAAAAACACAAGACAUUGGAAACGUUAGGAAACUUUUUAUUUUGUAUUUAGAGUCUUUUUGCUCUCCAUAAAGUACUUCAAGUGUGGUGGAAAGAGGUCUCUACGAACCCGUGCUAGUAUCCCAAGGUAAUUGCACUGUUAACAGCUAGGUCAAUUGGCUUGUGUUUAGAUAAUGUAAUUGCAUUCCUAAAAUAUUUUGCCUUAUUCACCAAAGUUUAAAAGGCAUAGUUAGACAUGGCAACAAAUAAAUUGGAUUUAUCAAGCUACUAGAGUCACCUCUCUCUAUUGAAUAAUUGACCCCAAGGAAGAGACAACAUCGGUCAAAAGUGGUGGGACUUCGUGACCAAACUGAAAUAUAUAUUGAGUUCUUAUCAUUCACGAGUUUGUACUUAGUUAGAAACUUCAAGCAUACAUCGAGAAUAAGCAACAUGUUGUUGUUACCUUGUAUGCUAAUUCUCCAAUGGCUAUACAAGCAUUGUUUGCAGAAGCAAGUUUUUCGCUAUUAAAAUUUCUACUCUAUAGAAAUCAAAAAUACAAUAGCUAAUCAUAAAUACGAUCAAAAUUAUGUACCUAUUCUAUUUGUUUUACGUGAGUUUUGGUUUAUAUUUGUAGUCUUUUACUGAAGCUAGCUAAACCAAAUUUUGUUUCGAUUCUAUUAGUAGCAAAUAAUUUUGUUUUUGAAUAAUCAAAGAGGUUCUAGACCAAGCCCAUACAUGCCCUCAAGCCAAAAUCAGAGCGUGUUAUAUGGUUUCGUCCCAAGCGCUACACGAACCGGUGACCUCUAAGCUUUUGCCAGUGAUCUUUACCAAUUGAGCUAUUAACACUUGGUAGUAACAGAUAAUUUUACCUAUAAUAUCAAUUUAUUAUCACUUUAAUAUCAAAACUUAUACCAAGGUCCAUGGCCAAUAUAUAUUUGUGAAAAUAUAUACAAAAACGGGCCCAAAAUUAAACAGAAACGAAACUUCAACUUAUUAUCUAUUUGUUCUAUUGUUUUAUCUUGAGUUUUGAUUUACAUUGCUUUUGUUGAAGCUAGCUAGCUAUACCAAAUUUUUUUCGGAUUCUGUAAAUCAAAAUUAAAAAUAAGGAUAUUCAAAGAUAUUGGGGUUGAUGUAUUUGAUUCAUAUAUUACGAGUUUUUCCAUAUUUGUUAGUCACGGGUUUUCUAUGUUUCCUAUUUAUAUCAUAUGGGUUUCAUUUUGAUAUAUAAGUUUGAUUCCAUGCAUAUGUAAUCCUGAAAUAAAGAAAACAUAUUCGUUCUUGUUUUUUUUGUUUGUUUUGAAGAAAGUGUUCUUUCAUGGCCGAUACAUUCGAUAGUUCAAUUUGUUAAUUAUUUUUUGUACGGCUUUGGAGACAGGAAAGAUUAUUGAAGAUUUGGAGAGUUGUAGUUCCUACACUAUAGCAGAUACAUAAUUCAACAACUAACAGAUAAUGGCCAAAACAAAAUUAGAUUGAUAAAUUUCAUUAUUUAACUCUUGUUUUUUAUCGUUAGUUAGUUUUAUUAAUGAUACUUGAAUAUGAUGUAUUCAACAUUUUAACGAUGUCAUAGUUUUACCAUUGUCAUUCAUGAGAACCUAUGGCAUGAAAAAAACUGGAGAGGUAAGUUUUUUGGGAAAAGAUGGUAGAACAAUGAUGGUAAGGCUUCUACAAGAUGGAAGGGGAAGAAUGAACUUCGGAUAAGAAUGGAAAGAUUUUAUUUUAGCUAAUGGAGUACAAAUUGGUGAAUCCUACAUACUGGAGUUGAUUUAGAAACAUUCAACUCAUAUACUGAGGUUUUUAUGUACAUCUAGUAUAUUUUGUGUAUGUGAUAAAAGGCAAGAAAGGUAUUGUCCACAAGCUUGCGAGGAAGACGAGAACAACAUUGCAGACAAAGAGGAUUCAUCUGUAGAAAACCAACAUCAUGUCUUGAAACUAACACUCACACUUGAAUAUGUUGAAGGCUGUAAACUAGUAAGUUUAGGAUCAACCAAAACUCUUUUCCAAAAGUGGGUUAGUUUCUAUUUUGAAUUCUAAUCAUUAAACUAUUUGGUGUGUUUUUAUUUAAUUUUUUUGCAGAUUCUUCCAUGUAAAUAAAUGAGAGAUAACAAAAAAUAUUAACUUCCCAAGAUAACUAUUGUGGGUAAAGCUAAGACGAUGUGGUCGGGAUUUCAAAUAUCAAGAGACUAAAUAAUAGCUAUAGGAGUUUGUUUUGGAAAAUCUAUGAAAGUAAUUGGCAUAAACAUAGGAGAUUCAUCUACUUUAGAGUUCAGAAAUCAAGAUGAAUACACAACUCCGGUGUUUAGGAUACGUCCUAAGUCCCGAGUCUAAAAAGAUGUAUGUAACAUAAUUAACCAUUGUAAUUAUUAGAAGUUUUAUUAAAGAAAAUUCAUUGUUUUUUCGUUUAUUAAGUUAAGAAGCUAGCAAAUAAAUAUGAUUUCAUCAUGUUUCGUUUAAUGGUGCAUGUUUAUGAUAUUAGAAUGGCCAUCUUUUGUUUCAGUUUAAAUAUUAUUUAAGAAUUUAUUCUGAAAUAUUCAACUGUGUACAUUUUGGUUUACGUGAAAUUAAAAUAUUUGAAAUCUCCAGAAUAGAAAAAUAUUUACCAAGUUCUAUUUUAGCUAUUAAUUAACUUUUGUUAUACUAUCUACUUAAAUAGGAUACAAAACUAUCAUACUGUCUACUUUAAUAAUAUACAAAUCUAUCUUUCUCAAAGUGUUAUAUCUUAAUUAGUUAUCUUAUUAAUAAAAAUUAGUUUCUAAAACUAGUAACUAACGUGAUCGUGUCAAUUUUAUCGAUCAUAUAUUUUUUCAUGAAUAAAGAAAAAUUAUUGAUCAACGAUAUAAAUAAAAAAUCUAGUUAAAAAAUAAGGUAUAUAUAAUAUUAAAUGAUAGACCCUUUCUGAAAACAUACGUAAGGGUUUUGAUCUCUCAUCAGUCUGUCAACAUUAACUGUAAAACAUUAGAGUCUUGGGGAUAGAAAGAGUUGAUAAUCGUGAGCAUUCAAAGAAAAAUUUGCAACACAACACAUAUCCAAGCAGAAGUUGCAAGAAGAAUAAUGAUACAACACAUAUCCAAGCUGAAGUUUUUAUGUGUGGUUAAGAGAUUCGUUGCUUGAGAUGGUGAAGAAUCUUAUAGAGUCUUCGUUAUUGAUGCACAUUUACAAGUAGAGGUUAAUGGUGUUUUUGAUUAACGGCAGAAAAUCUGGAGGCAAAAGAUUGUCUCGAGAGGAGAGAAAGAGAAAUAGAAAAAGUAGAAAAAUAAGGUGGUGACAAGAGAGAGCACCAUUAACCUUCACAAGCAUUCACAUACGGUACGUUUAAGAAGGAAGCUCCAAAGCGACAAAGGAGUUGUGCAAGGAGAAUUCUGAAACGUUGUACGAAGAAGAGUCAUGAUGGUGAUCAAAGUGAGAGACCAAACAAUAAUGGAGUAUACACCAGUCGAAAAUUUAACUGAAGACAAUAGAAGAAGGUUGGAAGAAUAAGGGACGUGAACGUGGCUGUAAAUAUCACAUAGGGGAUGUGACAAUGUAUAUAACUUGUGUGAUAAGAAAUCACCAAGAGGGAGACAAAGAUGUCAUUCUACUCCUCUGAAAUUGAAAGCUUUGACGAACUAAGAAGGAAGCUUAGUGUAAGACCGAAACUCAAUUAAGGGGUAGUGUUGGUCGAUAAUUGAUUUUCAGAGUUACAACGUGUAGGUCCUGACGUUUCUGUUUGUUCUGUUUCACUGAACAUUCACUAAGUAUGAAGAGACACAAGUCAAUGUGUUGUUGUCACUAGAUCAAUCGGACAACAAGCCAUACACAACAUUAAAUGGUACUUACAUACGUUUCAUAGAAUAUUCAAUCUAUUUGUAUUGUAUCAUUUAGAAUACUACAUUUGAUUUAGACAUAUUGUUUGAGUUGUGAAUACAUAUCUCGUGGUACCCAAGGCUCCACACCUUGAAAUGCAUACAUUUUCUCCUUUUAUUUGUUAUCUUUUAUUCUACCUUACUUUUAUUUGACUGUUUUGAACAAAAUCUAAGAAUUUGAUCAGAGCUUAUCUUUUAUUCUAGCUUAUCUUUAUUUGACUGGUUUGAAAUAGUAUUUAAUCUUUUAUUUGACUGGUUUGAACUAGUAAUUUAUUGGAUAAAGUUACCCUUAAAAAACCAUCAAUUUAAUUCCCACUUCCC